rnacentral:rRNA from 1 species
UGGGGAAUAUUGCACAAUGGGCGAAAGCCUGAUGCAGCAACGCCGCGUGAGGGACGACGGCCUUCGGGUUGUAAACCUCCUUUAGCAAGGAAGAAGCGAAACGUGACGGNACUUGCAGAAAAACGCGCCGGCUAACUACGUGCCAGCAGCCGCGGUAACACGUAGGGCGCAAGCGUUAUCCGGAAUUAUUGGGCGUAAAGAGCUCGUAGGCGGUUUGUCGCGUCUGCUGUGAAAACCCGAGGCUCAACCUCGGGCCUGCAGUGGGUACGGGCAGACUAGAGUGCGGUAGGGGAGAUUGGAACUCCUGGUGUAGCGGUGGAAUGCGCAGAUAUCAGGAAGAACACCGAUGGCGAAGGCAGAUCUCUGGGCCGUAACUGACGCUGA